AAUUGUCACUUCAUGUAGAGCCAACGGAAGCGGUAGUAUUUUGAAUUUUUCUCUGGACUUUCAUGAUGUUAGGCAAUUAUAAACAUACUCCUUGGAAGUAUUUUAGCAGUACUGUAUUCACUAUCAAUUGGAUACUCAAGUCUCGGUAACUACUCAAGAGUGAAACUCCGAGAAAUGUUGCACUAGAUACAUUUUGUCUCAAAGGACUAUUAUGCAGUUUUAAAAAAGCCAACAUGCAAGUAGACUGGUGUGUGCUGCAAUGACAAACAUGUUCUCCAACACAGAACUAGCAAAAGGUUUAGUCUCAGGGCCGCGCUUGAAACAAUUGAACAUAGGGAUAGGCCAGUUUUAGACCAAAAAUAUAUACAGUACCUGCAACAGUUGAAAACCCAGAUAUCUAGUCAGCAGCUGUAAAAUCCAAGAUGACUAAAAUAUGUGAAGAUACAAGUCGCUCCAUGUCAAAGGGAAUGGAGACAGCAUCUAAUGUUUAACAGGCGCUUAAUGUGCAGUAAUUUUUAAAUUUUAAAUUGUAAUUAAUAAUUAUCUUUGCUAAAGGUAACUUAGCAAAGUUUUGUAAUUUAAUUGUUUUUAAAAAUUUAUUUCAUAUCAUACAGAUGAGAGCAUGCUUUACCAUCUAAGUAACUGUUCGUCUAUACGCAAUAAAAAGAAUUAAAAAAAUUGUAAACUUGUUUAAGCAAAACAAUAAUUUUAGUGUGAAACAGUUACUGUAUACAUUUGACUAAUGUAGGUUUUUAACUUAAAAAUGUUAUAACACAUACAUAAUUCGUCUGACUAUUAUGCAAUAUAUCUUAUGAUAGUGCUUAUAUAUGUACAUAAAAGUUAG